rnacentral:rRNA from 1 species
UCCUACGGGUGGCAGCAGUGAGGAAUAUUGGUCAAUGGGCGCAAGCCUGAACCAGCCAUCCCGCGUGAAGGAAGAAGGCGCUAUGCGUUGUAAACUUCUUUUCCAGGGGGAGAAUUUUUCCGUCGUGACGGGAAUUGACGGUACUCUGGGAAUAAGCAUCGGCUAACUCCGUGCCAGCAGCCGCGGUAAUACGGAGGAUGCGAGCGUUAUCCGGAUUUAUUGGGUUUAAAGGGUGCGUAGGCGGAUCAAUAAGUCAGUGGUGAAAUUCUGCAGCUUAACUGUAGACUUGCCAUUGAUACUGUUGGUCUUGAGUAUGGUCAAGGUAGGCGGAAUGUGUAAUGUAGCGGUGAAAUGCUUAGAUAUUACACAGAACACCGAUUGCGAAGGCAGCUUGCUGGGCCAAUACUGACGCUGAUGCACGAAAGCGUGGGGAUCGAACAGGAUUAGAUACCCCAGUAGUC